rnacentral:rRNA from 1 species
AUUGAACGCUGGCGGCAUGCCUAACACAUGCAAGUCGAACGGUAACAGGAAACCGCUUGCUGUUUCGCUGACGAGUGGCGGACGGGUGAGUAAUGUCUGGGAAACUGCCUGAUGUAGGGGGAUAACUACUGGAAACGUUAGCUAAUACCGCAUAACGUCGCAAGACCAAAGAGGGGGACCUUCGGGCCUCUGUCCGUCGGAUGUGCCCAGAUGGGAUUAGCUAGUAGGUGGGGUAACGUCUCACCUAGGCGACGAUCCCUAGCUGGUCUGAGAGGAUGACCAGCCACACUGGAACUGAGACACGGUCCAGACUCCUACGGGAGGCAGCAGUGGGGAAUAUUGGACAAUGGGCGAAAGCCUGAUGCAGCCAUGCCGCGUGUAUGAAGAAGGCCUUCGGGUUGUAAAGUACUUUCAGCGGGGAUGAAGGGCGUAAAGUUAAUACCUUGGGUAAUUGACGUUACCCGCAGAAGAAGCACCGGCUAACUACGUG